CUGCUCCUCCUCAAGCCCCCAAGGCCCUUCGGCGGGCCCCUGCUGAAAGACCGGCAUGCCCUAUUCUGUGGGCUUCCGCGAAGUUCUUCUCUGGAUCAAUAACUCUUAACCUUCUAAGAACUCUGGAAAUUUAAAGAAGAUCUUCCUACCUUUAACGCACCUUUGACUCAGGCCAACAGAAAGUAUGGAAUAGGAAACAGUAAAUCACACAGUCUCUUGUUCUCAGGAAGUGGGAAAUGCUGCAUUCGAACAAUACCAUGGAGGCUGAAACAGGGAAGAGUGAACGCUCUGGCCAGGAAAGCAAGAGAGUGUGCCAGGGAAGCUUUGCAGAGGAAGAGAACUUUGAAUGGGCCUUGAAGAAUCUGUAGAAUUUCACAAAACAGAGAAAGCCUCAUGAAAAGUGUGGCUUGUGUGUUUGGGAGAGGUGUAGGAUCCAGUGUUGAGGGACAGGUGGGGUGGACAGAGUAGGAGAUGAGGAUGAAGAGAUAGAGAGGAGCU
rnacentral:lncRNA from 10 species